CCUACGGGAGGCAGCAGUGGGGGAUAUUGCACAAUGGGGGGAACCCUGAUGCAGCGACGCCGCGUGGGUGAAGAAGCGCCUCGGCGCGUACAGCCCUGUCAGCAGGGACGAAAAUGACGGUACCUGAAGAAGAAGCCCCGGCUAACUACGUGCCAGCAGCAGCGGUAAUACGUAGGGGGCAAGCGUUAUCCGGAUUUACUGGGUGUAAGGGGGGCGCAGACGGCGAUGCAAGCCAGGAGUGAAAGCCCGGGGCCCAACCCCGGGACUGCUCGUGGAACUGCGUGGCUGGAGUGCAGGAGGGGCAGGCGGAAUUCCUGGUGUAGCGGUGAAAUGCGUAGAUAUCAGGAGGAACACCGGUGGCGAAGGCGGCCUGCUGGACUGCAACUGACGUUGAGGCCCGAAAGCGUGGGGAGCAAACAGGAUUAGAUACCCCAGUAGUC
rnacentral:rRNA from 1 species